CUCUGUCCGUUCCUUGUGGUGAAUCUGAAUGACUUUGGGCCGAUCGCACGGGCCCGUCCCGGCGACGUAUCUUUCAAGUGUCUGCCUUAUCAACUUUCGACGGUAGGUUACGCGCCUACCAUGGUCGUAACGGGUGACGGGGAAUCAGGGUUCGAUUCCGGAGAGGGAGCCUGAGAAACGGCUACCACAUCCAAGGAAGGCAGCAGGCGCGCAAAUUACCCACUCCCGGCACGGGGAGGUAGUGACGAAAAAUAACGAUACGGGACUCUUACGAGACCCCGUAAUCGGAAUGAGUACACUCUAAACCCUUUAACGAGGAUCCAUUCGAGGGCAAGUCUAGUGCCAGCAGCCGCGGUAACCCCAGCUCGAAUAGCGUAUAUUAAAGUUGUUGCGGUUAAAAAGCUCGUAGUYGRAUCUCRGUUCCRGACGGRYGGUCCRCYYMCMSGCGGUCRCUGYCYGUYCUGRACRUCCWGYCGGUYUUYCUYGAUGAUCUUCAYCGGUUGUCYUGGGYGACCGGCRAKUUUACUUUGAAAAAAUUAGAGUGCUCAAAGCRGGCGCGACGCCUGRAUAAUGGUGCAUGGAAUAAUGGAAUAGGACCUCGGUUCUGUUUUGUUGGUUUUCGGARYWCGAGGUAAUGAUCAAGAGGGACAGGCGGGGGCAUUCGUAUUGCGACGCUAGA
rnacentral:rRNA from 1 species